CACCCGCCGGCCCGGAAAUGCGGCGGCGGUCCGCGCGCCCCGGGCCUGCUCGCAUUCCUGCUCGCGGUCCGCGCAGGGGCGGGGUCGGAGGGUCUAGGCCGGGCGCGGGGCGGGGAAUGGGAUGGCGCUGGGACGCACGCCCGGAGGAGUAGAGUCAUAAUAACCCGCGUUUGCCCGCCGCCCAUGCCCUGCUCAAUCCCCGCAUCAAUCCGGUGAGGCCGUUUCUCCCGUUGGCUCCACUGUUCCAGGGGCUGAGGCCCAGGGAGGGCUCGCGGCUCCCCAGGUUAUCCAGCUGGUACGAGGCGAAGCUGGAAUUCUCAGGGUGGGCCCAUUCCACGGCCUUUGCCAGCGCGCCAGGGACACACUCGGUUCACCUCAGCAGGGAAGAGCCAAAGGGGUGCAUCCCCCCUGGCAGCCAGGGCCUCGAACCAGGCAAUUCCUACAUCACCUCCCUCCAGGCACCCCUCGGAUGCCCCUGUCCUCCAGGCUGGGUUAGGUCUGAUCUCAGGGCAUGUCUGUUUCAACACGCUUCUGCAGUUCUUACGCUUGUCUUUCUCACUGCAGCGGGCCCGGCCUGGCCUAGAGGAGGCGCUCAGUUAUUAAGUCUGCUGAAGCUGUAAAACGGAAAUAAUAGAUGAUGGGGUGCCACCACGAACCUCUUCCCAUUCUUCAUUUAGUGGCUUCAUGUUGGCAGCCUGAAACUGGCCAAGGGAUGAAGAAACUGAGACUCAGAUGAAGUCACCUGCCUGAGCUAUGCAGCUAGUUGGCAGCAGAGUGGGACCAGAACUGUACUGCCAGGCCCGCAUGCAGUGGGAGCAGUGGUCAAGGCCUCACCUGCACCCCUCGCUCCUCCAAGUGUCGGAUCAGACUCUUCCUCAUGAUCAUCCUGGGGAUGGGGACAGGGGAGGUGAUGAUAAGAGGGGACCUGGGAGAAGGGCAGCAGCAGGUCUCUCCGGGGACACUCCACCUAACCAUCUCGCCCACCUCACCAUUUCGAAACCACAGCCAACAACUGGUUCAGGCAAGAGCAGGAAAAUGGGAAAUAGGUCCUGCAGAGAGAAGGGGGUGGGGGGUCAGCCCCUGGGGUCUCCCGUCCCAGAGGUGGGAUGGGGUGGUAGUGUCCCCCCCUGCCUCUGACCAGGGUAGCGCUGCCCUCCUGCCCCCCAGAGUCUCCCAGAAUAACCUUUGCAGUGGUCCUAAUGAACAAUUCACCCAUUGUUCGGAGAGCCUGACCACCAGGCUUUGAGGGUGUGGCCCUCCAGUCACCAUUCAACAGAUAAGAAGUCUGGGCCUUAGGCCGGGCGCGGUGGCUCAAGCCUGUAAUCCCAGCA